rnacentral:tRNA from 1 species
GAUAUAGCUCAGUGGCACAGUAUGUGCUUGGCAAGCACGAGGUUAUGAGUUUGAUUCUCAGUAUC